AUUGAACGCUGGCGGCAUGCCUAACACAUGCAAGUCGAACGAGUGGCGGACGGGUGAGUAAUUUCUGGGAAACUGCCUGACGGAGGGGGAUAACUACUGGAAACGGUGGCUAAUACCGCAUACCAUCAGAUGUGCCCAGAUGGGAUUAGCUUGUUGGUGGGGUAACGGCUCACCAGGGCGACGCUCCCUAGCUGGUCUGAGAGGAUGACCAACCACACUGGGAAUGAGACACGGUCCAGAGUCCUAAGGGAGGCAGCAGUGGGGAAUGUUGCACAAUGGGAGCAAGCCUGAUGCAGCCAUGCCGCGGGUAGGAAGAAGGCCUUCGGGUUGUAAAGUACUUUCGGCGGGGAGGCGUUACCCGAAGAAGAAGCACCGGCUAACUCCGUGCCAGCAGCCGCGGUAAUUC
rnacentral:rRNA from 1 species